rnacentral:rRNA from 1 species
GAGCGGCGGACGGGUGAGUAAUGCCUAGGAAAUUGCCCUGAUGUGGGGGAUAACCAUUGGAAACGAUGGCUAAUACCGCAUAAUGCCUACGGGCCAAAGAGGGGGACCUUCGGGCCUCUCGCGUCAGGAUAUGCCUAGGUGGGAUUAGCUAGUUGGUGAGGUAAUGGCUCACCAAGGCGACGAUCCCUAGCUGGUCUGAGAGGAUGAUCAGCCACACUGGAACUGAGACACGGUCCAGACUCCUACGGGAGGCAGCAGUGGGGAAUAUUGCACAAUGGGCGCAAGCCUGAUGCAGCCAUGCCGCGUGUGUGAAGAAGGCCUUCGGGUUGUAAAGCACUUUCAGUCGUGAGGAAGGUGGUGUAGUUAAUAGCUGCAUUAUUUGACGUUAGCGACAGAAGAAGCACCGGCUAACUCCGUGCCAGCAGCCGCGGUAAUACGGAGGGUGCGAGCGUUAAUCGGAAUUACUGGGCGUAAAGCGCAUGCAGGUGGUUUGUUAAGUCAGAUGUGAAAGCCCGGGGCUCAACCUCGGAAUAGCAUUUGAAACUGGCAGACUAGAGUACUGUAGAGGGGGGUAGAAUUUCAGGUGUAGCGGUGAAAUGCGUAGAGAUCUGAAGGAAUACCGGUGGCGAAGGCGGCCCCCUGGACAGAUACUGACACUCAGAUGCCGAAAGCGUGGGGAGCAAACAGGAUUAGAUACCCUGGUAGUCCACGCCGUAAACGAUGUCUACUUGGAGGUUGUGGCCUUGAGCCGUGGCUUUCGGAGCUAACGCGUUAAGUAGACCGCCUGGGGAGUACGGUCGCAAGAUUAAAACUCAAAUGAAUUGACGGGGGCCCGCACAAGCGGUGGAGCAUGUGGUUUAAUUCGAUGCAACGCGAAGAACCUUACCUACUCUUGACAUCCAGAGAACUUUCCAGAGAUGGAUUGGUGCCUUCGGGAACUCUGAGACAGGUGCUGCAUGGCUGUCGUCAGCUCGUGUUGUGAAAUGUUGGGUUAAGUCCCGCAACGAGCGCAACCCUUAUCCUUGUUUGCCAGCGAGUAAUGUCGGGAACUCCAGGGAGACUGCCGGUGAUAAACCGGAGGAAGGUGGGGACGACGUCAAGUCAUCAUGGCCCUUACGAGUAGGGCUACACACGUGCUACAAUGGCGCAUACAGAGGGCAGCAAGCUAGCGAUAGUGAGCGAAUCCCAAAAAGUGCGUCGUAGUCCGGAUUGGAGUCUGCAACUCGACUCCAUGAAGUCGGAAUCGCUAGUAAUCGUGGAUCAGAAUGCCACGGUGAAUACGUUCCCGGGCCUUGUACACACCGCCCGUCACACCAUGGGAGUGGG